UACGGAGGGUGCAAGCGUUAUCCGGAUUCACUGGGUUUAAAGGGUGCGUAGGUGGGUAAGUAAGUCAGUGGGGAAAUCUCCGGGCUUAACCCGGAAACUGCCAUUGAUACUAUUUGUCUUGAAUACUGUGGAGGUCAGCGGAAUAUGUCAUGUAGCGGUGAAAUGCUUAGAUAUGACAUAGAACACCAAUUGCGAAGGCAGCUGGCUACACAAAUAUUGACACUGAGGCACGAAAGCGUGGGGAUCAAACAGG
rnacentral:rRNA from 1 species